AGCAGCCGCGGUAAUUCCAGCUCCAAUAGCGUAUAUUAAAGUUGUUGCAGUUAAAAAGCUCGUAGUUGAAUUUCAGGCCUGGCUGGACGGUCCGCCUUUUGGGUGAGUACUGUCUGUGGUCGGGUCCUACCUUCUGGCGAAGCGUCAUGGCCUUAACCGGCCGUGGCGGGGAACCAGGACUUUUACUGUGAAAAAUUAGAGUGUUCAAAGCAGGCAGUCGCUUGAAUACAUUAGCAUGGAAUAAUGGAAUAGGACAAUGGUUCUAUUUGUUGGUUUCUAGGACCGUUGUAAUGAUUAAUAGGGAUAGUUGGGGCAUUAGUAUUCAAUUGUCAGAGGUGAAAUUCUUGGAUUUAUUGAAGACUAACUACUGCGAAAGCAUUUGCCAAGGAUGUUUUCAUUAAUCAAGAACGAAAGUUAGGGGAUCGAAGACGAUCAGAUACCGUCGUAGUC
rnacentral:rRNA from 1 species